CCUGUUCCCUACUAAUCCUGUUCUUUUGUGCCGCAGAUAUCCCCGCCUGGUCCAUCUCCUACAACAAUUCCACUCCUGCUCAAGUGCGCCCGAGACUGUGGGCCUCUUCUCUUUUAUGCCUAACUAACUUGCUAAUAUGCAUAUCUUACACACAUAUCACAGAUUUGCACUCCCUCGGGUUCCUGCCCUACUUAAGCAGUGGCCUGACAUCCUGUCCUCGCCGGAUUGUUAAGUCGUCUCAGAUCUCCACCAACUCACUUUCCCCGCCUCCUGGAUCUCACUCUCCUGCCUGUUACCUGUUUGCCUCUCUGCCUGGACCCCAUCAGCUUCCUUCACCUGCCUGCUCUGCCUGCCCCGAUCCCCGCAGCCACGGCCAGCUCUUUGACUCAAUAAAUCUCUGAGAACCA